UUUAUUGGAGAGUUUGAUCCUGGCUCAGGAUGAACGCUGGCGGCGUGCCUAAUACAUGCAAGUCGAGCGAAUGGAUUGAGAGCUUGCUCUCAAGAAGUUAGCGGCGGACGGGUGAGUAACACGUGGGUAACCUGCCCAUAAGACUGGGAUAACUCCGGGAAACCGGGGCUAAUACCGGAUAACAUUUUGAACUGCAUGGUUCGAAAUUGAAAGGCGGCUUCGGCUGUCACUUAUGGAUGGACCCGCGUCGCAUUAGCUAGUUGGUGAGGUA
rnacentral:rRNA from 1 species